rnacentral:rRNA from 1 species
CUUACUCGGUGAGGCGGAAGGCGUCCGUCGGAGUGUCUGCACUCCGGCGCGACGGUAUUCUCGCACCAAGCGCCAAGGGUUGUCGGCGGCCGGUCGGUCGUGGGGAGGCCCGCGGUGAUCCGCUUCGCGGCGGUUCUGCCGUGCGUGUCGUCUCUGCGCUCUUGGUCGCGCCGUCCGGCAACACACUCCCUAGCGUGAUCCGAUCCAAGGACACUACCAGGCGGGGAGUUUGAGUGGGGCGGUACAUCUGUCAAAUAAUAACGCAGGUGUCCUAUGGUCAGCUCAGCGAGGACAGAAACCUCGCGUAGAGCAAAAGGGCAAAUGCUGGCUUGAUCCCGAUGCUCAGUGCGCAUAGGGACUGCGAAAGCACGGCCCAUCGAUCCUUUUGGCUUGAAGAGUUUUCAGCAAGAGGUGUCAGAAAAGUUACCA